GACUCCCACAGGGGUUUGCAGAUAGCCCCACCAUUUUCACACAGGCAAUUAUGAAUUGUCUGUCAAGCUUCACCCCACCUUGUGGAAGCCAAAUACUGGUUUAUAUAGAUGACAUCUUGCUGUCCUCACAAACACAAGCUGCAUCAUUGGUGACACAUGGUGUAUGUCAUGUGUCAACAGGGGGGAUGAGUGACAUUAUAGAGAAGCAGUUCACAGCCUUUGGAUUAAAAUCUUACUUAAAAAGCUUUUGUAAAUCCUGCGUGAUCUGUAUUAAACAUAACCCACAAGGCAACAUGAGACCACAGAGGGGCAGGUUCCCUGAACCAAAAUAUCCUUUUCAGACACUCCACAUGGACUUUAUUGAACUAAACCAGAGCGGACCACAUAAAUACUGUCUGGUAAUGAUUGAUGCUUAUUCUAAAUGGGUUGAAAUAGUCCCAGCUAAACAUGCUGAUGCACUGACUGUGGCAAAAGCAAUUUGUAAACACAU